rnacentral:rRNA from 1 species
UACGUAGGGACCAAGCGUUGUUCGGAUUUACUGGGCGUAAAGGGCGCGUAGGCGGCUUAACAAGUCACUUGUGAAAUCUCCGGGCUUAACUCGGAACGGCCAAGUGAAACUGUCAAGCUAGAGUGCAGAAGGGGCAAUCGGAAUUCCUGGUGUAGCGGUGAAAUGCGCAGAUAUCAGGAGGAACACCGAUGGCGAAGGCAGCUCGCUGGGACGGUACUGACGCUGAGGCGCGAAAGCGUGGGGAGCAAACAGG